rnacentral:rRNA from 1 species
CAGUCGCCGCGGUAAUACGAAGGGGGCCAGCGUUGCUCGGAAUGACUGGGCGUAAAGGGCGCGUAGGCGGCAUACACAGUCAGAUGUGAAAUUCCUGGGCUUAACCUGGGGGCUGCAUUUGAUACGUGUGGGCUAGAGUGUGGAAGAGGGUCGUGGAAUUCCCAGUGUAGAGGUGAAAUUCGUAGGUAUUGGGAAGAACACCGGUGGCGAAGGCGGCGACCUGGUCUUUUACUGACGCUGAGGCGCGAAAGCGUGGGGAGCAAACAGGAUUAGAUACCCCGGUAGUCCCUGUCUCUUAUAC